UACGUAGGGGGCAAGCGUUGUCCGGAUUUAUUGGGCGUAAAGGGCGUGUAGGCGGCCAAACAGGUCAGCUGUGAAAACUCGAGGCUCAACCUCGAGACGUCGGUUGAAACCGUUUGGCUAGAGUCCGGAAGAGGAGAGUGGAAUUCCCGGUGUAGCGGUGAAAUGCGCAGAUAUCGGGAAGAACACCCGUGGCGAAGGCGGCUCUCUGGGACGGUACUGACGCUGAGACGCGAAAGCGUGGGGAGCGAACAGG
rnacentral:rRNA from 1 species